UGCCUAAAAAGCCAUUUGCUCAAGCCUGCCCUGUCUGGCCAACUUCUAUGUAUUUAAAGGAUCCUCCUUGGUCUCUGAAGCGCCCCCUCCCCCCGCCCAACACCUCCUCCUGAAUGGUCAGGUGCAGACACCACCUCUGGGAGGGCAGGGAGCCUCCUGGGAGACCUCCAGUCCAUCAUCUGCCUCUGAGCUGCUGCUGUAACCUGCCUGCAGUAGUCGAGAUCGGUUGGCAAAUUCCUAAAUUAAGGUUCUGUUUACUCUGCUGUUCCAAAGGCUUGUUUUGAGCAAGAUGUUGUGCUUUAAUUAAAAAGAGGAGAGCUCAUGAGUAAGUGAAAAUAUUUUUGAAUCUUCACAGAAAUGUCUGAAUUCAGUUUCUUGUGUUUCACAGUGAGGGGGGUCAGGCUGGUCAGCACUUUUAUCUGUGACACCACUAAAAAGUCUUUCUGUGAGCUGACAGCGGGCUCCCCUGCCCGGUAGACUUGGGAAGGGGACCCUAAGUCCAAAAAAAAAAAGCGUUCCUGCUGCUUCUCUGUUGGCAGGGUGAGCCGGUAUUCAGGUGUCAUUAGGACACAUUCCUCAUUUACCUUUCCAGCCAGAGGCUUCCUAAAUGUUUCAUAAUCGCUCCACAGCUGGAAUGCAGCUGCUGCUGGGUGGAGCAAACACAACUCCUUCUGGGUCAGCAGGGUGAGGGAGGGUAGGGAAUCUUGGAAGAUUGGGAAAGUCCUUCUUUCUGAAGCCAGCGCUCAGGAAUGAGUGGGGCCUCUGGUGUGAAAACUUUCCAGAUGGGGGAAGGAAGGCUCCCUUUGGAAGCCCAGGUCUUGGCCAGAGUCUCCCCUGCCCAUGUCCACCACCUGGGAGCAGACAGGGUGGUCAGCAGGUCAUGGCAAGCGGGAGACGUGAUGCUAAUGACUCCAGCUCCACGUGGCGACCAUUCAGGAAAAAGCUGCAAUGUUCUCUCUGCCACAUUAAUCAGAGAAACACAUCAAGAGCUGUUGCAUGGAGACAGCUUUCCUCCGGGUACCUGCCCUGCAUGCUAAUCACCACCCCUCCUGGCGCUGCUACCAAGCAGGACCUGCCGGUGGUUGAGCUUGUCAGUGUGCCAGGCCCUUCGCAUCUCUCUGAGGAUGGGCUGGUCCACUUCCUCCUCCUCCCCCAGCUGCCCCACCUUUCCUUGAGGGCUCUUCCACAAGAUGACCUGGAAUUGCUGCAUCUGCCUAUAGAAAAGACACCCCCUGCCUUCCCUCCCGGUGUGGAGUCCUGCAAACCUGACAAUGAGCUAUGGGAGGCCACAGGCUUUGGAGCAAGCAAGCAAAAAGAGAGGUUUUUGUGUUUUUUUUUUUAAGAUUUUUUUUAAGAUUUUAUGUCUUUAUUUGAGAGAAAGGGAGCACGAGCAGGAAGAGGCACAGAGGGAGAAGCAGACUCCCCGCUGAACAGGGAGUUCAGGCUCAAUGCGGCCCUCGAUCCCAGGACCCCGAGAUCAUGACCUGAGCCGAAGGCAGACACUUAACCGAGUGAGCCACCCAGGUGCCCCCCAAAAGAACGUUUUAAAACAUGUCUCUGUUAUUUCCCUCCUUGGCCUCCAUCAGCUCCCCACCUGGCACAUGAACUUGUUCUUCCCUUAUAUGGUUCUGAGAAAAGCACCAUAUGGCAGUUCAUCAGGCCCACGGGCUGGUUUCCAUCCAGCCCACUCUGAUUUCCUCCCAGGCUUGGGUCUGCAGAAUGACCCACCCUUCAUGAGGCCUGUGUAGGAAGAGACAGUACCAGUGAAGACAUACAGAGCUCGGACCACCGGCCAGGAGUUGUUCUUGUUACUCACGUGUGGUGAUGCUAUCAUCAUUUCUCUUUCACAGGUGAAGACGCGGACAUGUGGAUGUGUUCAGAGACAUCCUCUAGGUCACAUGGCUAGUGAUGGCAGAGCUGGGAUCUGAGCUGUACUAACCAUCAGAUUUUGCUGAUUUGCUAUCACGGAAAACCCAAUCUUAGCUACACGGUGUUGGUAGGAAGGAAGCAGAGUUUGGAAGAAGGGGCCCUGCCCAUGUGGCCAGGAGAAGGGUUGCCAGAGGGAAGGCGGAUAAAUCCAUGGGGCCGGACAAAGCCUGACUGACCCCACCUCCAGCAGAGCAGAGUCUGAGCUCAAUAAGGGAAGUCAGCACAAGCCAGGGAAAGCCAGGAGGAUCCCUGCAAGCACCCCCCUUGAAGAGCUGGCGAGGUUGCUGCAGGAAGCUGCAGGGAGCCCCUGGAGACUGGUUUCCCCUUUGGGCUCCUUGCUGGGGUCCAUACCACUGGCUCCCUCCAUCACCUCUUUCUCUGCUCUCUAGGAGAGAGGGACAAUGGCACCCUCCCUGAAGCCUGCCGAGCUGCGAGGCUGUGCUGGGGUGUGGUGGGAGCACAGGGAUCUGUGCAAGGAUCUCAGCUCCGUGUUUGCUCUUCAGCUGCGUGGCCAAGUGAUGCCCACCUCCAUGCCCUUGAGCCUCACCUACAGGGUGGCAUGGCGAAGAGGUGUGAAUGAGCUAAGUGUCAAGAACCUAGGUAGGCUCCUGGCGCAGAAGAGGUGUGGGAUCCAUGUGUCCUGC
rnacentral:lncRNA from 1 species